UCCUCGAUAGCUCAAUGGUAGAGCACGCGGCUGUUAACCGCGCUGUUGUAGGUUCGAGUCCUACUCGAGGAGCCA
rnacentral:tRNA from 6 species